GCCCGCCUAGCUCAAUCGGAUAGAGCGUCAGACUUUUACGGUCUGUAAAGGCAUCUGAAGGCUGCGAGUUCGACCCUCGCGGUGGGCU